UAAUAUAAAUAUUAUUGUUAUUAUUAAUUAAAAGUAUUUUUUAUGUUAUUAUUUUAGUAUUGUUAUGAAUUUAUUUAUAUUAUUAUAGUUUAUUAUUACAGUGAUGGUUGAAUGAAAGAGUUGAAAAUUUUAUUUUUAAGGAGAAAAGUUUUUGUACCUUUUGUAUCAGGGUUUAUUAAAAAUUAUUAAUUUAUUUUUUUGUUCUCGAAUUGGAAAGAGUUAUUUGUUUAUGAUUUAUAUUGUUAUAUAAAUAUAUUGAAUUGAUAAGUGGUAAUGAAAUGUUAUUCGUUUUCUUGGAUAUCUAGUUUCUCAAGAUGGAAAUUUAAUUUUGGUUUUUUAUUAUAAUAUUUAUUAGUAUUUAAAUUUAUUUAUGUAUUAUAGGAAAUACUUAUGAUUCUGGGGAUAAGCUCGGAUUUAAAAUUUAGAUAUAUAAUAUCAUUGUUUUGGAAUAUGAGCUUUUAAUUAGCUAUUAUUUGUGAGUUUGUUAUAGGUCAAUUUAUUUAAUUAUUUAUAUGAUUAUAUUGAGUGUAUAUUGGGAUGUUAAAAUUAAUUUUUAUUUUAUGUAAUAAUGAUGUAAUUAGUAAAUGAUUUGAUUGUUUGAAUUAUGUUGAUGUUUAUUUAUUUUAAGGAAUUAGGCAAAAUAAUUGUUCGCCUGUUUAACAAAAACAUGUCUUCUUGAAAUGAUAUGAAGUCGUGCCUGCCCAAUGAGUAUUUGAAUGGCCGCGGUAUAUUGACCGUGCAAAGGUAGCAUAAUCAUUAGUCUCUUAAUUGGAGGCUGGAAUGAAUGGUUUGACGAAACAAUUACUGUCUCUUGAUAAUGAUUUGAAUUUUACUUUUGAGUUAAAAGGCUCAAAUGUUGAUAGGGGACGAGAAGACCCUAUAGAUCUUGAUAAUUUAUAUUAAUUUUUUUGUUUGGAUGGUAUUUAUUAAAUUUUAGUAUAUUGUAUUUGGUUGGGGUGACAAGAGAAUAUAAUAACUUCUUAUUAUUGAACUAUGAUGAUUGAUUAAUUGAUCCUAUAUUAUGGAAUAAAGAUAAAGAUACCUUAGGGAUAACAGCGUAAUGUUAUUGGAGAGUUCUUAUUGAUAAUAAAGAUUGCGACCUCGAUGUUGGAUUAAGAAAAUUAUUAGGUGCAGAAGCUUAAUUUAUUGGUCUGUUCGACCAUUAAAUUCUUACAUGAUCUGAGUUCAAACCGGCGUGAGCAAGGUUGGUUUCUAUCUCUAUUUAUUUUUAUAUAUUUUAGUACGGAAGGGAUUGAAUAUAUUAAAUGUUUUAUUGUUUAGAAUGAUAUUAAU
rnacentral:rRNA from 1 species